rnacentral:tRNA from 1 species
AAUAAAGUGCCUGAUAAAAGGGUUAAACUGUAAAUUUAAUUAUAAGCUUUGACUUCUUUAUUA